ensembl:snRNA U1 U1 spliceosomal RNA
AUACUUACCUUGCAGGGGAGGUAAACUGAUAAUAAAGGUAUUUUUCCCAGAGCAAGUCUACUCCAUUUCACUCUGGAUGUACCGACCCCAGCAAAUUCCACAAAUGUGGGAAACUUAACUGUGUAAUUUAUGGUACUGGGGGACUUCAUACAUAUUCUCCAC